CCCUCGAUAGCUCAGUUGGCAGAGCGGAGGACUGUAAGAUGUUACAAACGGUGACCCUUGGUUGCUGGUUCAAAUCCGGCUCUAGAGU